CUCAUCACACACUGCACUCUACCAAUUAGUUACUCUCUCUCAAACAGUGCUUUGUUAUUUCUGUUACUGUUAAUCAUCAAAUUCUAGGAAAAGAAUCCAUAUCACUUUACAUGAAGCUCUCAUUCUAUUGAACGCUCUGCGCCAUUUAGACAGCACCACCAAACAGUUACAUUGAAACAUGUCUUACCAAGCUGGAAGCUCACAAGAAGUACAAAUUGGAUGAUAGUGAAAUGCUUCAUUCUCUUUUUCUUGUCUCAGUUUGUCUCUCUCUGUCCCCUGAUCUCUGUCUAUUACAUAGCAUGAAGCAAUAAUUCAGGUGGGGCUACUCCCACCUGGUAUCCACCUUCUAUAAGUGAUAAGACUUUAGCUAAUGAUUUCACACAACCUCCCACGUUCAGUUUCAACAGAGUUUGCAACAUCAGAGAUUUAUUAGUUUCCACAGACCCGGAAC